UACGUAGGGUCCGAGCGUUGUCCGGAAUUAUUGGGCGUAAAGAGCUCGUAGGCGGUUCGUCACGUCGGCUGUGAAAUCCCGAGGCUCAACCUCGGGUCUGCAGUCGAUACGGGCGGACUUGAGUACUGCAGGGGAGACUGGAAUUCCUGGUGUAGCGGUGAAAUGCGCAGAUAUCAGGAGGAACACCGGUGGCGAAGGCGGCUUCCUGGCCUGCAACUGACGCUGAGACGCGAAAGCGUGGGGAGCGAACCGG
rnacentral:rRNA from 1 species